CGCCUCCUCACGGGCCGGCCCGCAGCCGCAGAGCGCCUCUUUAGCUUCUCUUUAAAGCAAAAAUAGCAGAAAAUAAGCCCUCUUUCCCACAAACGCGGCCUUCUCGGGCCGUUUUGACGCGGUUGGAGGGGGGACGCGGAGCCGCCGCCAUUUCGGCCAGGUGCCGCCCCUCACCUCAGCGCGGCUCUGCUGGGUGCUGCUGCUUGGAGGUGGUUUAAUUAAAAAUUUAAUCUAACUCUCUUUCCGAAGCAAUUUAGGAGGAGAGGGAUUUCUGUUCUCUGGGAAAUAUGGAAGCCUGAAUCAGCCAGGACUGAUCACCCACAGCUCUUCUGCUGCUUGAUGCUGACCUUGGAAGAGAAGUAGUGCAGAUGUACUGAAAGUUCGCAUCUGUUUGUGAGCUUGGAUGUUUCCAGCAGGCAGGAAAAAAAGCAGUGUAGGCAGUUCCUUCUGUCCUUCCCAAAGAGGGCUCCAAUCGAGGAAGCACCGAACAACCACGUUUUAAAAUGUUUCAGCCUGAGGAUGGUCUGGGAUGCUGUGUCCUUCUCCAGGGUCACACAAAGCAGGCAUGGCCUUUUCGAAAAAACCUACGUCACGUUCAUAGAUUUUGAAUCUGCAAGUUCCUGGAGUCAACAAGUGUCCAGAGCCCUGGGAAAUGGUCUGCAGAGAAUCAACAGUUUGCAGGACCAGGCUGCAUCUCCCUGUGUAUGAGAACCCCCCCUCUGCUUUUCCUGCCUUCUGAGCUGCUCAUCACCUGACAUCGACUUCUCCUGUCAUUAUUCUUGUGCUCUCCGUGACAUUUCACAGCUGAGAACAAAUGCCUGCGGAAAGCCUUGGGAUUUGGGAAGAGCAGGAGGGUUCAGCGAAAGGGAGGAGGUAAUACCCUUUCACCUAAUCUGUUUAUAACAAAAUCUUCUUUAUUAGGCAAUGGUAUGUUUUUAAAAAAAGAGAACCGAACUCGCUGUUGGUCCCGUUGUUCCUGAAAUCA